rnacentral:rRNA from 1 species
GAUGAACGCUGGCGGCGUGCCUAAUACAUGCCAGUCGAGCGAACGGACGAGAAGCUUGCUUUUCUGAUGUUAGCGGCGGACGGGUGAGUAACACGUGGAUAACCUACCUAUAAGACUGGGAUAACUUCGGGAAACCGGAGCUAAUACCGGAUAAUAUUUUGAACCGCAUGGUUCAAAAGUGAAAGACGGUCUUGCUGUCACUUAUAGAUGGAUCCGCGCUGCAUUAGCUAGUUGGUAAGGUAACGGCUUACCAAGGCAACGAUGCAUAGCCGACCUGAGAGGGUGAUCGGCCACACUGCAACUGAGACACGGUCCAGACUCCUACGGGAGGCAGCAGUAGGGAAUCUUCCGCAAUGGGCGAAAGCCUGACGGAGCAACGCCGCGUGAGUGAUGAAGGUCUUCGGAUCGUAAACCUCUGUUAUUAGGGAAGAACAUAUGUGUAAGUAACUGUGCACAUCUUGACGGUACCUAAUCAGAAAGCCACGGCUAACUACGUG